AAGUCGAGCGGGGCGAGGUUGCUUCGGUAACUGAGCUAGCGGCGGACGGGUGAGUAAUGCUUAGGAAUCUGCCUAUUAGUGGGGGACAACAUUCCGAAAGGGAUGCUAAUACCGCAUACGUCCUACGGGAGAAAGCAGGGGCUCUUUAUGACCUUGCGCUAAUAGAUGAGCCUAAGUCGGAUUAGCUAGUUGGUGGGGUAAAGGCCUACCAAGGCGACGAUCUGUAGCGGGUCUGAGAGGAUGAUCCGCCACACUGGGACUGAGACACGGCCCAGACUCCUACGGGAGGCAGCAGUGGGGAAUAUUGGACAAUGGGGGGAACCCUGAUCCAGCCAUGCCGCGUGUGUGAAGAAGGCCUUUUGGUUGUAAAGCACUUUAAGUGGGGAGGAGGCUUACCUGGUUAAUACCUGGGCUAAGUGGACGUUACCCACAGAAUAAGCACCGGCUAACUCUGUGCCAGCAGCCGCGGUAAUACAGAGGGUGCGAGCGUUAAUCGGAUUUACUGGGCGUAAAGCGCGCGUAGGUGGUUAAUUAAGUCAAAUGUGAAAUCCCCGAGCUUAACUUGGGAAUUGCAUUCGAUACUGGUUAGCUAGAGUAUGGGAGAGGAUGGUAGAAUUCCAGGUGUACC
rnacentral:rRNA from 1 species